UACGGAGGGAGCUAGCGUUGUUCGGAAUUACUGGGCGUAAAGCGCACGUAGGCGGCUUUGUAAGUUAGAGGUGAAAGCCCGGAGCUCAACUCCGGAAUUGCCUUUAAGACUGCAUCGCUUGAAUCCGGAAGAGGAGAGUGGAAUUCCUGGUGUAGCGGUGAAAUGCGCAGAUAUCAGGAAGAACACCCGUGGCUAAGGCGGCUCUCUAGUACGGUACUGACGCUGAGACGCGAAAGCGUGGGGAGCGAACAGG
rnacentral:rRNA from 1 species